UGACGAGUGGCGGACGGGUGAGUAAUACUUAGGUAUCUGUCCUUCGGAGGGGGAUAACCAUUGGAAACGAUGGCUAAUACCGCAUAACGUCUGAGGACCAAAGGGGGCUUUUAGCUCUCACCGAAGGAGGAGCCUAAGCGAGAUUAGCUAGUUGGUGGGGUAAAGGCCUACCAAGGCGACGAUCUCUAGCUGUUCUGAGAGGAAGAUCAGCCACACUGGGACUGAGACACGGCCCAGACUCCUACGGGAGGCAGCAGUGGGGAAUAUUGCACAAUGGGGGAAACCCGGAUGCAGCCAUGCCGCGUGUGUGAAGAAGGCCUUCGGGUUGUAAAGCACUUUCAGUCGUGAGGAAAGGGUGUAAGUUAAUACCUUACAUCUGUGACGUUAGCGACAGAAGAAGCACCGGCUAACUCCGUGCCAGCAGCCGCGGUAAUACGGAGGGUGCGAGCGUUAAUCGGAAUUACUGGGCGUAAAGCGCACGCAGGCGGUUUGUCAAGCUAGAGGUGAAAGCCCCGCGCUCAACGUGGGAAUGGCCUUUAGAACUGGCAGACUAGAGUCUUGGAGAGGGGAGUGGAAUUCCAGGUGUAGCGGUGAAAUGCGUAGAGAUCUGGAGGAACAUCAGUGGCGAAGGCGACUCCCUGGCCAAAGACUGACGCUCAUGUGCGAAAGUGUGGGUAGCGAACAGGAUUAGAUACCCUGGUAGUCCACACCGUAAACGCUGUCUAUUAGCUGUUUGUGUAUCUGAUACGUGAGUAGCGAAGCUAACGCGCUAAAUAGACCGCCUGGGGAGUACGGCCGCAAGGUUAAAACUCAA
rnacentral:rRNA from 1 species